CCCACCAUGGCCCAGUGGCAGCGCGCGGAGCCUAUAGCCCCGAGGCCACUCGAUCGAAACGAGUUGCCGCUA